GUUUAUUAGGCAGACAGGAUUUAAAUGAGAUAGCAACAAACACGGAAGAACACAUGGCAAAAUGUUUAUAUUCGUAUUAUUCUUAUGGUGAAUGGUGAAGAGAAUACUGCUUGUGAUUCACAUUUCAUCAGGUUACUAGUAGCAACCAUCUCUUCUCACAGCUCUCUAUCAUGUUGGUGGAUAACUCAAACAUGCCAGUGCCUUCUGAAUAGUUGCAUAUGUGGACAGGCAAAUAAUGGAAAUUGAUUUAACAAUUGCUGCUUGAAUAACUGAAAAAAAAUUGAUUGGAAAGAAUAGUUGAAAGAGAUUGGAAGUUUCAGAUUUCAUUAUCAGACCAUAAAGGGCAGAUCAAGAUUUCGCUUUCCUGACCCAAUGUAGACAUAUCCAUGGUCAGGUGUACCAACAGCAUGGUAUCCCACUGCACCUGGCCACAACAGAUUCCUGAG